rnacentral:snRNA from 1 species
AUACUUACCUGGCAGGGGCAAUACUAUGAUCACGAAGGUGGUUUUCCCAGGGCGAGGCUUAUACAUUGCACUCUGGAUGUGCUGACCCCUGCGACUUCCCCAAAUAUGGGAACUUAACUGCAUAAUUUGUGGUAGUUGGGGACUGCAUUCGUGCUCUCCCCUG